rnacentral:rRNA from 1 species
AACGUAGGUGGCGAGCGUUAUCCGGAUUUACUGGGCGUAAAGCGUGUGCAGUUGGGGCGGUAAGUGGUGUAUGAAAUCACUCAGCUUAACUGAGCGAGGUUAUGCCAGACUGCCGUUCUAGAGAACGGGAGAGGGACGUGGAAUUCCGGGUGUAGUGGUGAAAUGCGUAGAGAUCCGGAGGAACCCCUGAGGCGAAGGCGGCGUCCUGGCCCUAUCCUGACGCUGAGGCGCGAGAGCGUGGGGAGCAAACCGG